UUCCAGACUCCUACGGGAGGCAGCAGUGGGGGAUAUUGCACAAUGGGGGGAACCCUGAUGCAGCGACGCCGCGUGGGUGAGGAAGUACCCCGGUAUGUAAAGCCCUUUCGGCAGGGAAGAAAAUGACGGUACCUGGCGAAGAAGCCCCGGCUAACUACGUGCCAGCAGCCGCGGUAAUACGUAGGUGGCAAGCGUUGUCCGGAUUUACUGGGUGUAAAGGGCGUGUAGCCGGGCUGACAAGUCAGAUGUGAAAUCCGGGGGCUCAACCCCCGAACUGCAUUUGAAACUGUUGGUCUUGAGUAUCGGAGAGGCAGGCGGAAUUCCUAGUGUAGCGGUGAAAUGCGUAGAUAUUAGGAGGAACACCAGUGGCGAAGGCGGCCUGCUGGACGACAACUGACGGUGAGGCGCGAAAGCGUGGGGAGCAAACAGGAUUAGAUACCCUAGUA
rnacentral:rRNA from 1 species